CGGGGCUGCUCUGCCGGGCGGGGGUCUUCGCGAGGGUCCGUUUAUGGGCUCGAGCGGGAUUAGGGCACGGGGUGCUCCCCAUAGGGCGUUAUGGGUCUGGGGUCGGAGCGUGAUCCACUUGAUCUGGGUCUUGAGGAUCCGGAGGUCUGGUACUGUCGCCACCCUGGGCAGUUGGUAAGUCGUAGCGAGUCCCCGGUCCGCAAGCUGAGCUGAAUGAGGCGUUUUGGGGCGAGUUCACUGGCUGAGUCCGAGGAGGGGGAGCAGCCUGACUCCCCGCCCGGCAAAGAGGGGUACAGUAAGAAUCACUAGGAGGUAGGCACUUCGGGGACACUUUGGGGUGGGGGCGGGGCCUUCGCUAGUCGGGGAAGGGCAGAGGUUGCUCUUGUCUAAGGCUCAUGACGUCAGAGGCUUGACAUCUCAUGGUUCAAGGCUCAGGGUGUCAGGGACCAGCCUCUGUUGUUGCUAAAGUGGGGGGUUGGCACAGCCGUCGGAUUCGUCUUAGGAUCUGGUGGCGUGGGAGAAAAAGGCAUGAAGUUUGAUUUUAGGUACUCAAGGACAGGGAGAAUUUGUGGGGGCUAGAGCUUGGAGAGGCUUGUGGGGAGAGGGAGGAGGAAUGGGCCCUAGCUAACUCGAGCUUGGAACUCAAGGAGCAUGGGGCCAGUCAGGGUCUAGGGCCUGCUGGUUUUCAUUGGUCCGGGGAGAGGAGGGAGGGCCCUGACAGCUAAUUAGCAUCUUUUCUGUUUGACACCCCUUGCGUUCUCCUUUAAUCUUACUGCAGUCUCCCGUUUUAUCUCAGUGGGGGAGGAGGAAGAGGCCAGAAGAGCCUUUGGGUCUGCUUGCCUAGCGUUGGUCAGAGCUGGUGGAGAAAUGGGGAGGCUGUGCUGUACCUCCUGGAGGGUGCCUUAGGGCCCUGCAUUCCAGUUAGAGACUUUCAGUGAUGGAGUCCCUGCGUCUCCCUGAGCCUAGUGCUCAUGUUUAGUUACAGUGUUCUAAAAGGAGUCUUUUAAGACACCAAGUUCCAUGUUGUUCGACUUUUAGAAUUCUGCAUUUUGUUGUUCUACAUUCAGAACUACUGCUGUACGUUUGAAAUCAUCAAUCAUAGUCAUUCCUCCGUUGAUGAGAGAGGCUGGUGUCUUGGAAGGCUUUGGGCUGGAGGCCUGCGGCCUGUUGGCUGUGCAACCUUAAGCAUUAAAGACUAUUCCAACUGGCCCACCAUCCCGCAGGUGUACCUCAACGGCGAGUUCGUGGGGGGCUGUGACAUCCUUCUGCAGAUGCACCAGAACGGGGACCUGGUGGAAGAACUGAGAAAGCUGGGCAUCCGCUCCGCCCUUUUAGAUGAGAAGAAAGACCAAGACUCCAAGUGAGGGCGGCGCGGGUCGCCCUGAGCUCGACGCUCGGGAGCCCUGGGCUCAGAGACUCACUGCCAGAGAAGCCUUAGCGAUUUGGGUUUCACUGUCCCGACGGCUGCCUGCGCCGAUGCCUGCGGCGUGAGCGGUCGGCGAUCUCAGUGUGUCUGCUGUCGGGCUGAGAAUAUUCCAUUGUGAACUGAAUUAUAAGCACUGCGCUGUAGUAACUCAAUGUUGUAUCAUGAUCUUGCUAUAAACAAAAUUUGUUCUUAUAGUGUCCUUUGCUCUUUGCCUGAUUCAGGAGUAAAACUAGGAGCUUUUGAAUCAUCAUUAUUCACGAGUCCUCUGCGAAUGUGUCGGUCUGCAAAGAUGAUAUAUCCACCCAAGUUUUUUAUAACUUGUUCUGUUAAGAAAAAUGAUGGACAAAGAAGAAAAUGUGAUAACUGGGUAUUGUUUUUUAAAAUAAACUGCCAACCCAGGGAUACCGUGUGUGAAUUGUUAAUUCUGAAUAGCAGUAAGUCUCUGUCCUAGUCCGUUCAGGCCGCUGUAACAAAAUACCGUAGCCCGGGUGGCUUAUAAACAACAGACGUUUAUUUCUCACGGUUCUGGAGGCUGGAAGUCCAAAUUCAAGGCUCCAGCACAUUCGGUGUCUGGUGAGGGCCUGCUCCUGGUUCCUAGACAGCAUCUUCUCACUGUGUCUUCACUAGGAAGCUCUCUGGGGUCCCUUUAAUAAGGGCACUGAUUCCAUUCAUGGGGGCCCUUCCCUCCUGACCUGACCGCCUCCCAGAGGCCCCGUGUCCUAACACCAGCACUUUGCCGGUUAGGUGUCUAUAAUAUAGGAAUUUUGAGGAGACAGACAUUCAGUCUAUAUCAGUCUAUAAGGGCUUUUGGUACCUGUGACCUUUUGUUUUUAGGAAUUGAGUGGAUUAGGAUUCUCAUGUUCUUCUCUAAGAUUUGCCAUCAAGCUGUGUUCUGAUUUCUUCCGGUAGACGGUAUCUUUUUAUAAGACUCAGUGUUUCUCCAUCCCGAGACCGUGGUGAUGGAGCUGGAGGAGAGCUUUACAGUGCUUCAUGGGGAGAAAGCCCAUCCCGUCACAUGUGCCGUUGGAUCCCCAGACACCCUCAUUCAUCUCUGGGGGCUCAAACAGAGCGUCUAUUUGGAAUUGCAUCUUUACAGUGGCAGAAGUAGGAAGAAGGAUGCAUUUUUUAAUGAAAAGGGCAAAAAUGACAAGGAAAGAAGGAU
ensembl:lncRNA